UNUGACUUGAGUGCAGAAGGGGAGAGUGGAAUUCCAUGUGUAGCGGUGAAAUGCGUAGAUAUAUGGAGGAACACCAGUGGCGAAAGCGGCUCUCUGGUCUGUCACUGACGCUGAGGCUCGAAAGCGUGGGUAGCGAACAGGAUUAGAUACCCUGGUAGUCCACGCCGUAAACGAUGAGUGCUAGGUGUUAGGCCCUUUCCGGGGCUUAGUGCCGGAGCUAACGCAAUAAGCACUCCGCCUGGGGAGUACGACCGCAAGGUUGAAACUCAAAGGAAUUGACGGGGGCCCGCACAAGCGGUGGAGCAUGUGGUUUAAUUCGAAGCAACGCGAAGAACCUUACCAGGUCUUGACAUCCCGAUGCUAUUCUUAGAGAUAGGAAGUUACUUCGGUACAUCGGAGACAGGUGGUGCAUGGUUGUCGUCAGCUCGUGUCGUGAGAUGUUGGGUUAAGUCCCGCAACGAGCGCAACCCUUAUUGUUAGUUGCCAUCAUUAAGUUGGGCACUCUAGCGAGACUGCCGGUAAUAAACCGGAGGAAGGUGGGGAUGACGUCAAAUCAUCAUGCCCCUUAUGACCUGGGCUACACACGUGCUACAAUGGUCGGUACAACGAGUUGCGAGCCGGUGACGGCAAGCUAAUCUCUGAAAGCCGAUCUCAGUUCGGAUUGGAGGCUGCAACUCGCCUCCAUGAAGUCGGAAUCGCUAGUAAUCGCGGAUCAGCACGCCGCGGUGAAUACGUUCCCGGGCCUUGUACACACCGCCCGUCACACCACGAGAGUUUGUAACACCCGAAGUCGGUGAGGUAACCUUUUAGGGG
rnacentral:rRNA from 1 species